GAUGAACGCUGGCGGCGUGCCUAAUACACGCAAGUCGAGCGAACAGACGAGGAGCUUGCUCCUCUGACGUUAGCGGCGGACGGGUGAGUAACACGUGGAUACCUACCUAUAAGACUGGGAUAACUUCGGGAAACCGGAGCUAAUACCGGAUAAUAUAUUGAACCGCAUGGUUCAAUAGUGAAAUACGGUUUUGCUGUCACUUAUAGAUGGAUCCGCGCCGCAUUAGCUAGUUGGUAAGGUAACGGCUUACCAAGGCGACGAUGCGUAGCCGACCUGAGAGGGUGAUCGGCCACACUGGAACUGAGACACGGUCCAGACUCCUACGGGAGGCAGCAGUAGGGAAUCUUCCGCAAUGGGCGAAAGCCUGACGGAGCAACGCCGCGUGAGUGAUGAAGGUCUUCGGAUCGUAAAACUCUGUUAUUAGGGAAGAACAAAUGUGUAAGUAACUAUGCACGUCUUGACGGUACCUAAUCAGAAAGCCACGGCUAACUACGUG
rnacentral:rRNA from 1 species